rnacentral:rRNA from 1 species
GAAUUUUAUAAAAUUAUUUUAAAAUUAUUAAAAUAAUUUUAUUUAAUUGGGAGGAUUUUUAAAUUUAAAUAACUUUAAAAUUUAUUAAACAUUAAUUUAUGAUAUUUAUAAAUAAAUAAAUAUUAUUUAAAUAAAAAUUAAUUACCUUAGGGAUAACAGCAUAAAAUUUUUUUGUAGAUCUUAUAUAUAAAAAUAUUUGU